AUGGAAGCUAUCCAACCAUGUCUAACAGCAGUUGUCAGAAAAGAAUUGUUGAAACAUCAGGAUCAAGAUGUUAAAGUUCUCUUGGCAACCUGCUUCUGUGAAAUUACAAGAAUAACUGCACCUGAAGCUCCAUAUAGUGAUGAUGUUUUAAGGACCAUAUUUCGUCUGAUUGUUGGUACAUUUGGUGGACUCACUGAUGUUAAUAGCCAUUACUUUAGCAGGAGAGUUGCUAUCUUGGAAACAGUUGCAAGAUACCGGGCAUGUGUUGUGAUGUUGGACCUUGAAUGCAAUGAUCUCAUCACAGACAUGUUCCGAACUUUUUUAGAAAUCGUCAGGUUAUUUGUGAUGGUUUAUAAGGGUACAAUCGUUUGUAGGCUGGCUGAGAGACACUUGCACACUUUUCACUGUGUGAUUUGUGUGGUACCAAGAUUAAUAGUAUUUUGA
rnacentral:rRNA from 1 species